CUCCACUUCUCGAGGACAAAUGCAAGAGAGAAACAGGAGCAGAGUGGCUAAAAAUUGCUCACAUCCCAAAUAUAUUGAUCGAUGGCUUUCGAAUCUAAAUCUCCAUUGCAUACAUCUAAAGGUAACCUUUUUUUCCAAGAGAAGAAGGCCUCGCAGAGCAUGCUCUGCUCACUGAAGCUUUAAGACGAGUCACUGGCCUCAGAUUCAAGAAAGCUUCACUGGGCUCAACAAAUUAUGCAGCGGACUUCCAAUCUAAUAGAUCUUUUUCUCAAUAUAUUCAUAGCAGAGAACCAACAAUCUGCUUUCAGGAGAUUGAAGCCAAACGAUGAGAAUAAGGAUGAACAGCUGGUUUUUUUU